AGAGGGUGCUAGCGUUAAUCGGAUUUACUGGGCGUAAAGCGUGUGUAGGUCGUUGUUCAAGUCGGUUGUGAAAUCCCCGGGCUCAACCUGGGAACUGCUUCCGAGACUGAGCGACUAGAGUACGGUAGAGGGCGGUGGAAUUUCCGGUGUAGCGGUGAAAUGCGUAGAUAUCGGAAGGAACAUCAAUGGCGAAGGCAGCCGCCUGGGCCUGUACUGACACUGAGACACGAAAGCGUGGGGAUCAAACAGGAUUAGAUACCCUGGUAGUCCACGCCGUAAACGAUGARAACUUGACGUCGGUUUGCUCUGCAAGUCGGUGUCGUANCUAACGCGAUAAGUUCUCCGCCUGGGGAGUACGGCCGCAAGGUUGA
rnacentral:rRNA from 1 species